UACGUAGGGUGCAAGCGUUGUCCGGAAUUAUUGGGCGUAAAGAGCUCGUAGGCGGUCUGUCACGUCGGCUGUGAAAACCUGGGGCUCAACCCCCGGGCCUGCAGCCGAUACGGGCAGACUAGAAUUCGGUAGGGGAGACUGGAAUUCCUGGUGUAGCGGUGAAAUGCGCAGAUAUCAGGAGGAACACCGGUGGCGAAGGCGGGUCUCUGGGCCGAUAUUGACGCUGAGGAGCGAAAGCGUGGGGAGCGAACAGG
rnacentral:rRNA from 1 species